CCAAACGUUCAAUUGCCAAUUAGUGAGUUGAGCCGAUUUCAGAAUUAUUGCAUCCGGUUGGUUCACUACCACGUGACUUGAGGAAAACUAAUUGCUUCAGCGUUAUGCACUACAACGGUUUUAUGGCAAUGAUGAAUUGGAAACUUUGUCAUAAAAGCCAUUAGCGAAUGUGUUAGAAACAAAAAUUUUAUGUUUAGAAAAGAUUUAUUGCUGCUUUGUCCUGCUGUGUUCUAGCUAUGUACAGAGUGUUUCAACGAUAGUGUACAGUAGAAACCAAUAAUGCGAAUGACCAAAAAUCUACUUCAAGGGGUGGCAGAUGACACCAUUACAUUUUGAAUCUGCCUAUUGUCAUGUUAAUGCCUCUGUUAUAUUGCCAUAUACAUCGGAUUCACGUCCUGCAUAACACUUCAGAAAAGCAUUGUUCGUAAAUCAUCCGGGACAUGCCUACGGGGUAAUUCAAAAUUGAGGUCUUGCCUGUAUACUCAAAGCUGCGCCAUCGACUGUGAAUGAUCCUGAACAUAUGAUAAUUUAUUUUACCUUCAGCUGUUCCAUAACGACUAUAAUUUGGCAUUCUUUAAAAUGUCAUAAUGAUGUUUAUUACCGCAC